AUUGAACGCUGGCGGCAGGCCUAACACAUGCAAGUCGAACGAGUGGCGGACGGGUGAGUAAUGUCUGGGAAACUGCCCGAUGGAGGGGGGUAACUACUGGAAACGGUAGCUAAUACCGCAUACCAUCGGAUGUGCCCAGAUGGGAUUAGCUAGUAGGUGGGGUAACGGCUCACCACGGCGACGAUCCCUAGCUGGGAUGAGAGGCUGACCAGCAGCACUGGCACUGAGACACGGUGCAGACUCCCACGGGAGGCAGCAGUGGGGAAUUUUGCACAAUGGGCGCAAGCCUGAUGCAGCUAUGCCGCGUGUAUGAAGAAGGCCUUCGGGUUGUAAAGUACUUUCAGCGAGGAGGCGUUACUCGCAGAAGAAGCACCGGCUAACUCCGUGCCAGCAGCCGCGGUAAUAC
rnacentral:rRNA from 1 species